GUGUGAAUAGUUGCCGAAAUGGUAAUAAUUUUAUAUCCCAAUUGAGAGAUAGAGCAGGCAAGAACUGGAGGAAAUCCGAAUCAUUGAUGUUGUCUGUCUGUUCCAUGAAAGUAAAAUUGUGAACUUUGCAACUAAUAGAGUCCCAUCGCCCCAACCCAACGGCUUCCCAAAGGGAACAACCGGGCUGACCUACCUUCAACAUUCAAGGGACUCGCUGUUUGAUCCUAAAUUCACCGCCUUUUUGAAGGAGCAUGUCGGACGCUUAUUGGAGGUAUAGCGACUCGCAGCAGCAACCUCCGUCGUCGGUUCCUUCCGUCGCCGGGAAGCGCCCUCGCGUCGAUUACGAUACCAGUGGUCCUCACGAUUUGCCCAACUAUUACCCUCGUCAAGAUGAUAGACCAAUCCUCCAAGGAAUUAAAAGCGUUGAUUCCAUCAAUGAGUCCUAUGAACGUUACCUGCGCAGCGCGAAAAUUUCAUCUUAUGGUGGACAGUCUGCUAGACCCGUUGGUGGGGGAGUUCCUGGUCAUUCAAUCAAUGAUCCUCCUCCUAUAGUCGGGAUUGGGGGUGUGGUUUCAGGGGCCAAUGUUAAUGAUAGAAGUGCGAGCUUUGGAGGUGGAAGGCCUAACGUACCCCUUCCUCCAGAUGCUUCUAAUACACUAUUUGUUGAAGGCUUGCCUUCCAGCUGUACACGGCGUGAAAUAGCUCAUAUAUUUCGCCCUUUUGUGGGCUACAAAGAAGUGAGACUUGUUAACAAGGAAUCCAGAAAUCCUGGAAGAGAUCCAGUGGUGCUUGGUUUUGUAGAUUUUGUGAGUCCUGCCCAUGCAGCCACGGCAAUGGAUGCCUUACAAGGUUAUAAAUUUGAUGAGUUUGACCGUGACUCGGUCAAUUUAAGGUUGCAAUUUGCUCGCUUUCCUGGUGCAAGGUCAGGUGGUGGGCAUCGUGGAAAGCGUUGAAUUAUGUGAUUUCGCAGGUGAUAAAACGCCUUCUUUGAUCCACUCGACCAAUUAUUUUCUUUGCCACAUGGUAGAGAAUAAACUGCAUUCUCGAGCUGACAUGAUGCAUUGAGUUUGGAGACUACGGAAUGCUGUAAAUUGGAGUACUCAUUUUUUGAUCUUUGGUGGUUUCUUGCACCAUCGCUAGACAUAGGAUUCACAACACUUUUCCGCCCUAGCCCUAUAUUGGAAAUGCUUUCCCUCUGGGCAUGUAUGGAUGCAAUUCCAAUUGUGGAGUUACUACUGAAGGCCAACUGAGUAGCCCUAUAUUGGGUUUCUCGUUAUGAUUGCAAGGAGCCUUGGCAAUUGCUGCUAAGACUUGAGCUUGGCUUGAUAUUGAUUUGUUGCUUGUGGCCUUUUCUACUGGUGAGAAAACGUAUAUGCAGAAUUGAAUAGCAACAUGCUUCUGGUGUACCAGAAAUAGACAAUGGGAGUGUAAGUAAUAGGAACGAACUUCAUAUCAGAGCUUGUUGUUGCUGCUGCUGCUGCUGCAUUUAUGGUGAGGAAAUUUAUGCACACAACAAAACGUGGUUGCCUGUCUCAUCAAGAGGACAUUUUUCUGUAAUAAUGGAGGAAGUCUCUGCUUCCAGCUUAGAGACGGAAGGUGGGAAAGGUUAUAGAAUCCGCAUUGUUGUUGAUUUCUUUAAGAAAUAUUCCUUACAAAUUAAGCAAUGGAAAUGGGGAUUCAAACCAA